UACGUAGGGUGCAAGCGUUGUCCGGAAUUACUGGGCGUAAAGCGUGCGCAGGCGGCUUUGCAAGACAGAUGUGAAAUCCCCGGGCUUAACCUGGGAACUGCAUUUGUGACUGCAUGGCUGGAGUGCGGCAGAGGGGAUGGAAUUCCGCGUGUAGCAGUGAAAUGCGUAGAUAUGCGGAGGAACACCGAUGGCGAAGGCAAUCCCCUGGGCCUGCACUGACGCUCAUGCACGAAGCGUGGGAGCAACAGG
rnacentral:rRNA from 1 species